rnacentral:rRNA from 1 species
CCUACGGGAGGCAGCAGUGAGGAAUAUUGGUCAAUGGACGAGAGUCUGAACCAGCCAAGUAGCGUGAAGGAUGACUGCCCUAUGGGUUGUAAACUUCUUUUAUAUGGGAAUAAAAUGUUCCACGUGUGGGAUUUUGUAUGUACCAUAUGAAUAAGGAUCGGCUAACUCCGUGCCAGCAGCCGCGGUAAUACGGAGGAUCCGAGCGUUAUCCGGAUUUAUUGGGUUUAAAGGGAGCGUAGGUGGAUUGUUAAGUCAGUUGUGAAAGUUUGCGGCUCAACCGUAAAAUUGCAGUUGAAACUGGCAGUCUUGAGUACAGUAGAGGUGGGCGGAAUUCGUGGUGUAGCGGUGAAAUGCUUAGCUAUCACGAAGAACUCCGAUUGCGAAGGCAGUUCACUGGACUGCAACUGACACUGAGGCUCGAAAGUGUGGGUAUCAAACAGGAUUAGAUACCCGUGUAGUC